CCCGCUGAACUUAAGCAUAUCAAUAAGCGGAGGAAAAGAAACCAACAGGGAUUGCCUCAGUAACGGCGAGUGAAGCGGCAACAGCUCAAAUUUGAAAUCUGGCUCUUUUAGGGUCCGAGUUGUAAUUUGUAGAGGAUGCUUCGGCGUCGGCUCCGGUCUAAGUUCCUUGGAACAGGACGUCAUAGAGGGUGAGAAUCCCGUCUUUGACACGGACUGCCAGGGCUAUGUGAUGCGCUCUCGACGAGUCGAGUUGUUUGGGAAUGCAGCUCAAAUAGGGUGGUAAAUUCCAUCUAAAGCUAAAUACAGGCGAGAGACCGAUAGCGAACAAGUACCGUGAGGGAAAGAUGAAAAGAACUUUGGAAAGAGAGUUAAACAGUACGUGAAAUUGCUGAAAGGGAAACGCUUGAUGUCAGUCGCGUCGUCCGGGGAUCAGCCUUGCUCUUUUGCUCGGUGUAUUUCCUGGUCGACGGGUCAGCAUCGGUUUUGACCGUCGGAAAAUGGCUCGAGGAAUGUGGCACCCUUCGGGGUGUGUUAUAGACUCGGGUCGAAUACGGCGAUUGGGACCGAGGAACUCAGCACGACCUUAGGGUUCGGGGCUUCGGCCCACGUUAACGUGCUUAGGAUGCUGGCAUAAUGGCCUUAAGCGACCCGUCUUGAAACACGG
rnacentral:rRNA from 1 species